AACGAACGCUGGCGGCGUGCUUAACACAUGCAAGUCGAACGAGACGAUUGAAAGCUUGCUCUUAAAAGUCGAGUGGCAAACGGGUGAGUAACGCGUAGACAACCUGCCUUUGAGAUGGGGACAACAGUUCGAAAGGACUGCUAAUACCGAAUGUUGUAUAUUUUCCACAUGGAAGAUAUAUUAAAGAUGGCCUCUAUUUAUAAGCUAUCGCUCAAAGAUGGGUCUGCGUCUGAUUAGCUAGUUGGUGGGGUAACGGCCUACCAAGGCGACGAUCAGUAGACGGUCUGAGAGGAUGAACGGCCACAUUGGGACUGAGACACGGCCCAGACUCCUACGGGAGGCAGCAGUGGGGAAUCUUCCACAAUGGACGAAAGUCUGAUGGAGCAACGCCGCGUGAGUGAAGAAGGGUUUCGGCUCGUAAAGCUCUGUUGUCGGGGACGAAUGUGCAGUAUUUGAAUAAAGUACUGCAAUGACGGUACCUGACGAGGAAGCCACGGCUAACUACGUGCCAGCCGCCGCAGUAA
rnacentral:rRNA from 1 species